rnacentral:lncRNA from 1 species
UUUUUUAUAGUAACAUUAAAAUUUACCCACUCAAAUAAAAACUUUAAAAAAAUACCCACUUUUUGUGUUAAAGGACUAAAGUGCCCCUAUGAUUAAAAUUUAAAACUUACCCACAUCAAAUCUCAUCUCUCUUCCUCUCGGUCUCUCUCUCUCUCUCUCUCCUUCCUGCGUCGCCACCGCCGGCCGUCGAUCUUCCUCUGCCAUCACCCUGCUCAUUCCGGCGGAGCUGGAGAUGUACUUGCCGUCGCUCCGCCCUGCGCCGCCUUCACCUGAUUGUGCAUCGACGAGCAAAUCUCCGCCAAAAGCUUCAGCGCCGAUGUUGAUCUCGCGGCGACCAAGGGCGGAAGACGGCGGUGAGUCCAUGGAUUGCAAUUUCGCUGCUUCUUCCUUCGCCUGAUUCCGCAUUCGACGAGCAAAUAUCCUCCUUCGCCGCUUCCUCCUUCGCCUGAUUCUGCCUUCGACGAGCAAUUUUACCACUUCCUCCUUCGCCUGAGUCCAUGGACUACAAUUUCGCCUGAUUCCGCCCUACGCCGCCUUCGCCUGAUUCCGCCUCGACGAACAAAUCUCCGCCAAAAGCUUCAGCGCCGACGUUGACUUCAAUUACCAGGUUCAAAUCGUCGAGGAAGGCAACAAUUGGUUUAUUGGUUAACCUAAUUCUUCGCCCGACGAAAUAGAAUUUUUGUUCCGGUGAAAUAAUGAUGGAAUUCCUAUGAGGAAGAAAGGGGGAGAGGAGACGUGUUCUGCCAUGGAAGGAGGUGGUUGGUGGGGUUUGGAGUGGGAGAUGUUUUUUUACAGCAGUGGGGUGUUUGGGGGAGUUUUUUAAUUGGAGCAUAGAUGAUCAGUAAAAAUUAGAGAAAUUUCCAAAAAUUGUUAAGAUGUGAGUUUGUUUUGUUAAUGUUCUUAAAUUCACAACUAGAUUUAUGAAUUCACAAUUUAAUGUUCUUGAAUUCACAACUAGAUUUAUGAAUUCACAAUUGAAUUACCG